AGUGAACGCUGGCGGUAGGCCUAACACAUGCAAGUCGAACGGCAGCACAGAAAGAGCUUGCUCUUACGGGUGGCGAGUGGCGGACGGGUGAGGAAUACAUCGGAAUCUACUUUUUCGUGGGGGAUAACGUAGGGAAACUUACGCUAAUACCGCAUACGACCUACGGGUGAAAGCAGGGGAUCUUCGGACCUUGCGCGAUUGAAUGAGCCGAUGUCGGAUUAGCUAGUUGGCGGGGUAAAGGCCCACCAAGGCGACGAUCCGUAGCUGGUCUGAGAGGAUGAUCAGCCACACUGGAACUGAGACACGGUCCAGACUCCUACGGGAGGCAGCAGUGGGGAAUAUUGGACAAUGGGCGCAAGCCUGAUCCAGCCAUACCGCGUGGGUGAAGAAGGCCUUCGGGUUGUAAAGCCCUUUUGUUGGGAAAGAAAAGCAGCAGGUUAAUACCCCGCUGUUCUGACGGUACCCAAAGAAUAAGCACCGGCUAACUUCGUG
rnacentral:rRNA from 1 species